AGAAAAUCGUUAGCGUUUUGUAACGGCCUUGAAAAUUUUUCCUCGCGUCAGUAUAACUGCUUAAAAGUUGGCAAAAUAUUAUAUUCGGAGUGAAUUAGGCUCGAUUAGUUCUUUCAUUGAAUCCAGCAAAUCGCCAACUUACGUUGUUGAGGCGUGUUUUCGGCAAAGCCACUGGGGCUUAUUGAACGGCUUAUUGAUUGGAUAAAAUUGUCCUAUUGCCAAGCGCUAGGCAGUUUGCUACCGUAACCUGGCACUCGAGUAGAGCGGAAGUUAGUAGGGUAACUAUUUGUAAGUGACAAAUUUAUUAUUGUAUUUCCCUAAAUUUAAUAAAAAUGCUUCUGCAGUUGAGUCCUGCCG